UUAUGGCUCAGGACGAACGCUGGCGGCGCGCCUAACACAUGCAAGUCGAGCGGGGAAGGACUUCGGUUCUCUUCAGCGGCGGACGGGUGAGUAACGCGUGAGCAACCUGCCCUUCAGCGGGGGAUAGCGUCUGGAAACGGACGGUAAUACCGCAUAACGUAUAGAAGAGACAUCUUUUUUAUACCAAAGGAGAAAUUCACUGAAGGAUGGACUCGCGUCCGAUUAGGUAGUUGGUGAGGUAACGGCCCACCAAGCCCGCGAUCGGUAGCCGGACUGAGAGGUCGAUCGGCCACAUUGGGACUGAGACACGGCCCAGACUCCUACGGGAGGCAGCAGUGGGGGAUAUUGCACAAUGGAGGAAACUCCUGAUGCAGCGACGCCGCGUGAGGGAAGAAGGUCUUCGGAUUGUAAACCUCUGUCUUUGGGGACGAAGAAAGUGACGGUACCCAAAGAGGAAGCCACGGCUAACUACGUGCCAGCCGCCGC
rnacentral:rRNA from 1 species